rnacentral:rRNA from 1 species
GUGGGGAAUAUUGGACAAUGGGCGCAAGCCUGAUCCAGCAAUGCCGCGUGUGUGAAGAAGGCCUUCGGGUUGUAAAGCACUUUUAGUGAGGAGGAAAGGCUUAAAGCUAAUACCUUUAAGAGUUGACGUUACUCACAGAAAAAGCACCGGCAAACUCUGUGCCAGCAGCCGCGGUAAUACAGAGGGUGCAAGCGUUAAUCGGAAUUACUGGGCGUAAAGCGCACGUAGGCGGAUAUUUAAGUCGAUUGUGAAAGCCCCGGGCUCAACCUGGGAACUGCAUUCGAUACUGGAUAUCUAGAGUAUGGUAGAGGAAAGUGGAAUUCCCGGUGUAGCGGUGAAAUGCGUAGAUAUCGGGAAGAACACCAGUGGCGAAGGCGGCUUUCUGGAUCAAUACUGACGCUAAGGUGCGAAAGCGUGGGGAGCAAACAGG